UUUCCUUUGUACCUCCAUCCCUUCCUCUCUCUCUUCUUUUUUCCCUUUUUCUCUAACAUCUUUCUCCUUUUCCCUUUCCUUGUUUUCCCCCUUAUCCUUUUUUUUUUUCACCUCUUUCCUCUUUUUCCCAAGGUUUUCCACCGUUAGUUGUUGGAUCUUGCUUAGUACCUCACUACGGGCUGUCCAGAGAUCCUCACUAUGGGCUGUCCAGAGAUCCUCACUAUGGGCUGUCCAGAGAUUCUCACUACGGGCUGUCCAGAGAUCCUCACUAUG